GGGUUCAAGUCCCUCUAUCCCCG
rnacentral:tRNA from 1 species